rnacentral:rRNA from 1 species
GGGUAGAAUCCAGGUGAGCGGUGAAAUGCUAGAGAUCUGGAGGACCGGUGGCGAAGGCGGCCCCCUGGACAAAGACUGACGCUCAGGUGGAAAGCGUGGGGAGCAAACAGGAUUAGAUCCCUGGUAGUUCACGCCUAAACGAUGUCGAUUUGGAGGUUGUGCCCUGAGGCGUGGCUUCCGGAGCUAACGCGUUAAAUCGACCGCCUGGGGAGUACGGCCGCAAGGUUAAACUCAAAUGAAUUGACGGGGGCCCGCACAAGCGGUGGAGCAUGUGGUUUUUCGAUGCAACGCGAAGAACCUUACCUGGUCUUGACAUCCAGAACUUUCCAGAGAUGUUGGUGCCUUCGGGAACUGUGAGACAGGUGGCAUGGCUGUCGUCAGCUCGUGUUGUGAAAGUUGGGUUAACCCGCAACGAGCGCAACCCUUAUCCUUUGUUGCCAGCGGUUCGGCCGGGAACUCAAAGGAGACUGCCAGUGAUAAACUGGAGGAAGGUGGGGAUGACGUCAAGUCAUCAUGGCCCUUACGACCGCUACACACGUGCUACAAUGGCAUAUACAAAGAGAAGCGACCUCGCGAGAGCAAGCGGACCUCAUAAAGGUCGUAGUCCGGAUGAGUUUGCAACUCGACUCCAUGAAGUCGGAAUCGCUAGUAAUCGUAGAUCAGAAUGCUCGGUGAAUACGUUCCCGUUCCUUGUAACCCCGCCCGUCACACCAUGGGAGUGGGUUGCAAA